CCUUGCGAUGUGAGUUGUAUUAGUUAGUAUGGUAAUGUAAUGUUAUUGGUCAGUUUCCCUAACUAAUUCCCUACUUUUCACACUGACACAGUCGUAAACAGCUCUAUGGUUACAUGGUGCACAGUAGAGGUCUACACAGGACCGGUUUCUUCAUUCGGCUCCUGCCUGCACCCGCAGUCGUUGUUGUCCCACCCCACCCGCAGUCUCACAAUGUUAUUUUAGGCGUACAGUAUGUGACGUGACUGAGCUCAUUUUGCCAACCACGGUCUCAACUAUUUUUCGCCCUAUAGGCAAUAUCAAAUGCGAGGGGGAAAAAAAUAACUUAAGAGAUUUAAAUGACCAGAGAUUCUCACAUGGCCCUUCAUAUUGUAUUACUGGGCUUUAUCAGCCAACAUGCUGGAUGUAGAUUGGAAAGAGCAGAAUUGGAGAGACUUGCACUUCCUCUUGAGCUGUUAUUUUUGCCUACCCUUUAAGGAGUGGGAAGAUUUUCAGAGAGGAUAAAUACGAGGGAUCAAUAUUUAGGCCAAUUUCUAGACAAUGUAGUAAACUAUAGCCUAAUCAUAGGCCUAUUUAGGAAGUACAUUUCCUUGGAAAGAUAACUGCCCUGUGCUUCUCCACCCAGGCAUUGGCUACAGUCUACUCUAUUUAAUAGAGACAACACGCUCACCUGAUCUCACAGGUACGGCUACUGAACUGGAAGCAGAGAGAAUGAUGACAGACACAACUCCUAUGUUUUACAUAGGCCUAUAGGACAUAGCCUACCUUUUAGGGAGACGAUUUGCAGGCAGAGACAAACUAAAUGGGUAAUCAAUCAGCCAAGUCCAUAUGAUCUGGUGAUUUCUCCAGUCUCCAGUCAGAGCUAUGGUAACACUGAGACAAGGAAGAGGUAGAAGAGGCCUCAACCACAGACAGAUGAGUAGCAAGCAGAACCCAGACAGAGGUAGAGAGAAGAGGCCUCAACCACAGACAGAUGAGUAGCAGCAGAACCCAGACAGAGGUAGAGAGAAGAGGCCUCAACCACAGACAGAUGAGUAGCAGCAGAACCCAGACAGAGGUAGAGAGAAGAGGCCUCAACCACAGACAGAUGAGUAGCAGCAGAACCCAGACAGAGGUAGAGAGAAGAGGCCUCAACCACAGACAGAUGAGUAGCAGCAGAACCCAGACAGAGGUAGAGAGAAGAGGCCUCAACCACAGACAGAUGAGUAGCAAGCAGAACCCAGACAGAGGUAGAGAGAAGAGGCCUCAACCACAGACAGAUGAGUAGCAGCAGAACCCAGACAGAGGUAGAGAGAAGAGGCCUCAACCACAGACAGAUGAGUAGCAGCAGAACCCAGACAGAGGUAGAGAGAAGAGGCCUCAACCACAGACAGAUGAGUAGCAAGCAGAACCCAGACAGAGGUAGAGAGAAGAGGCCUCAACCACAGACAGAUGAGUAGCAAGCAGAACCCAGACAGAGGUAGAGAGAAGAGGCCUCAACCACAGACAGAUGAGUAGCAGCAGAACCCAGACAGAGGUAGAGAGAAGAGGCCUCAACCACAGACAGAUGAGUAGCAGCAGAACCCAGACAGAGGUAGAGAGAAGAGGCCUCAACCACAGACAGAUGAGUAGCAGCAGAACCCAGACAGAGGUAGAGAGAAGAGGCCUCAACCAAAGACAGAUGAGUAGCAAGCAGAACCCAGACAGAGGUAGAGAGAAGAGGCCUCAACCAAAGACAGAGGUAGAGAGAAGAGGCCUCAACCACAGACAGAGGUAGAGAGAAGAGGCCUCAACCAAAGACAGAGGUAGAGAGAAGAGGGGCGAAGGUUCAUCUUACAUGGCGACACCCCUGUCAGAUCACGACCCUGUGAUAGAUUUGGUAGAAUUGCCUGAUGGCACGUGGGCCAUGAAGCAGAUGACACCACAGAUUAUCUUCACCUAUGAAAGGACCAAUGUGUUUCCUGACUCUGUGUAAACAUCCCGUGUAAAAGAGACAAUGUGUUACCUGACUCUGUGUAAACAUCACGUGUAAAAGAGACAAUGUGUUACCUGACUCUGUGUAAACAUCACGUGUAAAGGAGACAAUGUGUUACCUGACUCUGUG